rnacentral:rRNA from 1 species
UACGGGGGGAGCAAGCGUUGUUCGGAUUUACUGGGCGUAAAGGGCGCGUAGGCGGCCAGCGCAAGUCAGUUGUGAAAUCUCCGGGCUUAACUCGGAACGGUCAACUGAUACUGCGCGGCUAGAGUGCAGAAGGGGCAACUGGAAUUCUCGGUGUAGCGGUGAAAUGCGUAGAUAUCGAGAGGAACACCUGCGGCGAAGGCGGGUUGCUGGGCUGACACUGACGCUGAUGCGCGAAAGCUAGGGUAGCAAACGGG